UCACUCCUGCCCAACUUUAGACUUAGACAAACCAAAUUCUUUUCUGCGCAACUUUACUUUGUAGCCUUAUUCUUUGUGCUGCGCAAAUGUCUAAAAUGUUUACGUAGUGUUUUUGCCAUUUCCAGAGGGAAAAAAAGAGGAAAAAAUAACAGCCUGCUUAGAGGAAGGACACAGGGGAAUCAUUCCUUCUGUAUGAGCACUCGAUGAUUGUCGUGAACCAUGAAGCGCAGUAAGAACCGUGGACAAAAGGAGGACAGAAAUGGAGAUGAGCCAGCAAUUUUGGAGACAGAGGACCUGGAUCGCCAGGGCAUGUUCAUGGGAGGAGGCGUGGACCCUGACACCAUCUCACUGGCCUCAGUCACAGCUGUCACCACCAACGUGUCUAAUAAG